rnacentral:rRNA from 1 species
UACGUAGGGGGCAAGCGUUGUCCGGAAUCAUUGGGCGUAAAGAGCGUGUAGGCGGCUCGAUAAGUCUGCUGUGAAAGUCCAGGGCUCAACCCUGGAAGGCCGGUGGAAACUGUCGGGCUAGAGUCCGGAAGAGGCGAGUGGAAUUCCCGGUGUAGCGGUGAAAUGCGCAGAUAUCAGGAAGAACACCCGUGGCGAAGGCGGUUCUCUGGGAAUGUCCUGACGCUGAGGAGCGAAAGUGUGGGGAGCAAACAGG